rnacentral:rRNA from 1 species
AAUAAACGUUGGCGGUGCGCCUUAUGCAUGCAAGUUGAACGGGGUUAUGGUCUUCGGAUUGUAACCUAGUGGCGAACGGCUGAGUAACACGUAAGUAACCUGCCUUGGAGUGAGAAAUAACUUGCCGAAAGGCGAGUUAAUGUCCCAUGUGAUAAUGAAGCUUAUGCUUCAUUAUUAAAGCUUUCGGGCGCUCCAAGAGGGGCUUGCAUCUGAUUAGCUAGUUGGUAGGGUAAUAGCCUACCAAGGCGAUGAUCAGUAGCUGGUCUGAGAGGAUGGCCAGCCAGAUGGGGACUGGGGACACGGCCCCCAACUCCUACGGGAGGCAG